rnacentral:rRNA from 1 species
UACGUAGGGUGCGAGCGUUAAUCGGAAUUACUGGGCGUAAAGGGUGCGCAGGCGGUUCUGCAAGUCAGGCGUGAAAUCCCCGGGCUUAACCUGGGAAUGGCGCUUGAAACUACGGGACUGGAGUAUGGCAGAGGGAGGUGGAAUUCCACGUGUAGCGGUGAAAAUGCGUAGAGAUGUGGAGGAACACCGAUGCGAAGGCAGCCUCCUGGGCCAAUACUGACGCUCAUGCACGAAAGCGUGGGGAGCAAACAGG